GUGUUACAUGAUAGGAAAGGUUAGCCCUCUCAUUGACAAGGAUAGAAGUGUCCCUUGGGCCCAACAACAUGCAUAGGGUUAAUGCACUGCCACCUACUUCAUGGGAUCUAACUAUUGUAUUUU